rnacentral:sRNA from 1 species
AUAUGAUUGCAUUGCAUGUACUAACGGAUGCGAUCAUACAAGCACUAAUGCACCGGAUCCCAUCAGAACUCCGCAGUUAAUAUGCUUGGGCGUGAGGAGUACUAUGACGAGUGACCUCUCGGGAAGUCCACGUGUUGCAUCCCUCCUUUUUUUUGGUUAAAACUUUUGGACUUUAUAACUUUUAAACCGUGAGGCCAAACUUGGCAUGUGAUAGCUUUUCGGAAAGUCCGAUGAGAGCCCUCCGGCGAAAGAAGCAAGACAAUACCUAUGUUUUU